CACCCUCCGCGCUGCGAGGCCACCCAGCGAGGUUGGCCCUUCGAACCAGCUCUCCCGCCCCAGUCCCGGCGGUGCUACCCGCGGAGUCGCCCCUAGCUGGGGAGACAACCCCGGCCCGGGGAGGUUAGGCUGGGCCGUGCCUUGGGGCCGCUCCGGGAGGGUGGGCACUCCGCAGGGCUAGUCCCACCUCUGCCCUCCCGGGCAGGCGAACGGUGAGCAUCCGGGUGGGGCUCCCCGAGGCCCAGAAGCCGGGAGGAAGCAGGCCAGAGAGGCCGAGCCCUUCCCGGGCGUCCCCCGCCCAGCCAGGUCACGAACAGCCGUCAGCCUCGCCAGGCCUUUCCACGACACCUCCACUACCUCUGCAGUCUUGGUUUCUCUCGUCAGACGUUUUCUAAACUGCCAAGUACCACUCCUAAGACGUUCUCGCCCGCUCUGUCCCAGAAUGGUGACCUCUGGAUGGGCCUCUAGAGACAGGUGGACUGAGACCCACGGGGCCCUCGGAAUCAUGUUCCUCUGGUGCCAUGAACAGUUUUUCCAGGUCUCUGAGUUUCUCAGAGGCCAGAGUGGAGUCUUUAAAUGAUUCCCCUGGCUCACUCCACAGGUCUCUAAGUGGUUUAAGGCCUGGCACAGUGGCCAGAAAGACCAAGGAAGCAAACACCCAGCAACUCCUGAGAGCAGCAGGCUUCCUUUAUGUGAUCAAGUCCCCCACAGCCCCUUACACUGAGCCAAGCAGAGAAAUCCCAUUUCUGAGUGAUGGGAGCCAUGAAGACAAGCUGGAGGAAACAGCUUUCUUUCUCACCUCUUCAAGAAAGAGCCAUCUAAUUCGCUCAGUCCUGCCAGCAACCCAACCCCAGAUCCCACGGAGACCUCCCAGACACAACCAAGUUCUGCCUGGGCUCCCGCUAGUCAGCAGCUUUCUGGCACCUGGCUGAUGACCUGCUCCCCGACGCCAUCUCCAGCGGAGUCCAGUCCCCCUGAAGGUUGAGUCUACGGCCUGUUGCGCUCUUUUUAGACAGCCCUACCUCAUACCAGGAGUUGUCGGAGUGCAUGGAAUCUGGGGGAUUGACACCAUGAAAUUCCUGGACCUGCACCCACCUUCCAGCUGUCUGGUUGUUGGCUAAGUUAUUGGGCCUCUCAGCUGUUUCCUCAUCUAUAGGACCGGGACGGAGUCCACUGCUCAGCAUUGUGGAGAUCAGAAGUGACCUAUCCACAGCACUUGGCCGCACGCCCGGCAGGGCAGCUGCUCAAAUGUCAGCUAUUACUAUUGUCGAUCCCCUCCCUUGUUUGAGCCACCCCGCGGACCCCCUGAUCCAGGGAGGCAGGUGGAGUUUCAACGGCCUCCCUCAUGCAGAUGUCCCCAAGGUCAGUUGGUGUCAGAACUGAAAUUUGAGCUACAAAUCCUGGAUAAUAAGCAGGCUGAGCCCAUUCCUCCCCAGGGGAAAAAAAAAAGAGAGAAUGGAAAAUAGCUACAGAGGUCAAAAAGCAAAAGGCUAAGAGUAAAAGAUCCAGACACGGGCA